AUUGUAGUAGCUACAUUGAUUGAUCAUGUACUACUUAUGGGUAUAGUUAAGUACUUUAAAUAUUUUAACCCAUCCAAUUUGCAGAACAGCUAUAACAGAGGGCUAUUAUAAUUAUUUGGGUUUAUGUAUGAGAAAAUGGUUGUGCAGAGAGGUGAAGAAUCAUGUAAUUUGUGAAACUGGCUCACCGUAUUUUUCUUAAAGUGUACCUGCACUGUGCUUCUUGAGAAUUCUUGGACUAUUGCAUAGGGUUUUUCUAAGCAGGAUCCUCGGAGACUGCCAGGCACCCAGUUAGGGAAAGGACAUGCAUUAUUUAAAGCAGUUUCAGUGCAGUGCUUCCUCCAAUCAAGGUAGAUUGACAUUUUGUCUGGUAGGUUCUUCUCUCAUCAGGUGGAAUGAUGGAAAGACAAGUUCUUAUCUCUGAAGAACUUGGAAGUUUGGGGGCUCUGAGUGGUCUGAGUUCAUCCUUCUGGGUGAACCUCUGUCCAGUGGCCAUUGUUCAAGAUCUCAAACACAGAUGCCUGCCAUCGGGGCCAGUGGCACUCUGGCCUAUGGAAGAUCACAGACCCCAGGUAAAGGGGCUGUUCUAGGGCAGCUGUGAACACACAGGAAAGCGGGGCCAGGCACCUGAUUUUUUGAUUUUUAAAAAAAAUUUUUGGCCACACCCAUAACACGCCAAAGUUCCCAGGCCAGGCAUUGAAUUACAGCAGUGAAAAAGCCAAAUACUCAACCUCUAGGCCACCAGGGAACUCCAAUUUUUUUUUUCUUUUUAUUCAAGUGAGAAACAGCAUAGCUAUAGGUUUAAACUGUUUCCCUUUGUAAAGCAGCUGAUUGGCUUGGUUAAUAUCUAAAGUUGCUCUGUCAUCCUGAGCAAGGGGGCAAGUAGAGACAGAGACAACUUGUGAUAAGUGCUCUAGAUGCCUGGAAAGCCAGAAUACUCAUAGUAUGAGGGAUACAAAGAUAUAAAAGUCAUCUGUAUGUGGUAGAAGUUUACAGAUAGUUUAAAGCAUAAAGCAUACCAAAAGUCCAUAGUUAAAAAUAUUAACAAAUGCCAUUUGAUGAACCAGAUUUGUCCUCCCACAUGUACUAGCAAAAACCAGACAAAAUAUAGGAAACACCUGCUUUCAAGACCCUAGACAUCAGCCACCAAAGAAUAUGGACCAUAAAAGUCUGCGAACAAAUUAGAUGAGCCUUGAAAUGUCUUUAGUUUUAGUGCCUUGAGAGUUCCAAGUCUUGAUGCAUGGAGAGGAAACUCUGGUGGAGCCCAGUGUAUCUUUCUAUGCUAGAGAGAGAGCUGAGAGUCCAGGCGGACAAUGGCUAGAGACUGAGGGACACAGUGCUGGCAAAGAGAGGGCUUCACAUAAAGGGGGAAUCACAGUCAUCUGCAGAGAAUCUCCCUUAGGGCAUCAGCUAAGAAUUAAGUAGCAGAUAUUUGUGAGGAAACUACCUGAGGCCAGGAAAAGAAAGAUCUAAAAAAGAUAGAGGAAACAGUGCCUGAUACUCACACAGAGCUGGAAAUAGUGCUUGUUCCCAGCAGCCACAUGCCUGUGAGAAUGACUCCAGUUAAAAAGACUGGCCGGAGCCGUGUCACUGUGAGUAACUGGAACCCCCAUGUUCUGCUGGUAGGAACACAAAAGGGGGCCACCGUUUUGUAAUGCAGUGUGUUAGGGUCUUAAGAAGCCAAACACGUUUCUACUUAUGACCUUGCUGUAUUUAUGUAGAUAAAUAUUUACCCAAGAGACAUGGAAACAUAUAUCCAUACAAACGUGUACAUAAACAUGCAUAACAAUUUUAAUAGAAAGUGCAGAACCUGGGGACACAUUGAAUGGUCAUCAACAGGUAAAUGAAUAAACAAAUUUUGAUACGUCCUUACAGUGGAUUACUAAGCAAUACAAGGAAAUGGACCAGUGAUAUAUUCUAUAACAUGAGAGAAUGUCACAAUAAUUAUACUGAGGAAAGGAGCCAGGUUAAAAAUGUGUGUAGUACAUGACUCAAUUCGUAUAAAAUUCUUGGAAAUGAAACUAAUGCAUAGUGAUGGAGAUCAGAUCACUGCCUCUCUGGGGAAAGGGUGGGAUAUGCAUUGGCCAGGCAAUAUAGGAAGGAGAGAUUACAUAAAAGAUGAGGACCUUUUAGAGAUGACAGAUUUGUUCAUUGUCUUGAUUGUGGUGAUGGUUUCACAACUGUGUACAUUUGCCAAAACUUCUCAAGUACUACAACUUAGAUAUGUGCGUUUUGUUAUGUCAGUUAUCUCUCAAAAAGCUAAAAAAGGAUUAUUAGUGAAGGGUAUUUGGCCAAUAAAGGUAGACACAUACAUGCAGGAGUUAUUUAGAAGAGUGUGAGAGAAAGAGUGAAUGUAAAUCACUUCCAGCCAAGGAAAGCUGUACGAAGGAGGUGAGAGACGUGUUAGGACUAAAAAAAUAAACAUUUUGGUAGAUAGAUGAAAGAGGAAUGGGGAUGUGUUCAAUAUACGUAGGCUCAUAAGAGUGGAGAAAAUAAUGGAAUUUUCACAGGUUGAGUAGCUGUGAUCUCAACUAGAGUGUUCCCAACUCAUAGUAAAGAGAAGUGGACAGUGUGGGAAGAUGGGUUGGAACUUUUGAAUGACAGGCUCAGAAGCUUUUAUCAGAAUGAAUAAGCCCUCUGAGGAAAGGCACUUGCUGCCAGAAAAACAGAGGACCCCAAACCAAGUCUUCAGAAGCACUUGGGUUAAGUGAAUUCAUGGAAACCUGUUAUAAAGUUUUUUUUUUAAAGUAGAAGAUAUGGAGGAGCAGGCAGUCAUCAUAGUAUUAAAUAGGCCAUUUGGUAAAAAAGCUUCUGAAACAAGGAUACAGUUUUCAAAUGUGGAAAGAAAAGCUCUAGAGAAGAAGAUGAAUGAAAGGGCCAUGGCUUUAGCAAUGAGAAGAUGUUAGUUUCUUAAACAUAAUGAAUCGCUCUCUAUUAAAAACUGUGUUGAACAUAUCCCAUUAUCAAGAGAUUUAUCACAGAGAAAAACUGCCUUGUUGAGGCUGCUAAUUCUAUAAGGGCAGUUUGUGGAGGGCAAGUUUAGCCUGACAUGUUUUUUCCCCAGAAAAUAUUGGCUUACUUUGGGACCUGCUGUGGGUAUCCAGAAACUCUGAGAACUCCUAGAACCAAAGUAUUGUUAACAUCGUGAUCCAGAAUUUGGCAGCUUUAAACUUCGAGAUGAGAACUAUCUUGGAGACUUUAAAAUUGGAAAGGACCCACACUUCCCCUUUUGGGUUUCAGUGGGGUACAGGCGAGUCUGAAGAACCUGAUAAAUCAAAUGUCAUUUAGGCCACUGUGUUCUCUGGGUACAAAUUAGUUAGGCUGCUGUGUCACAUUCUUAUUUCAUAGCAGAACAACCCGCUGUCGAAUAAAUGAGUUAGCAUUGCAUUAUGAGCAACAUGUGAGCAGAAGGGUUGCAGAGUCGUGUUGGUAUGUGAGGCAAGGAUACAGAGCUGAAGUGGCAGACAUUACCAGCAGCAUAUUAAAGGUUCUGUCUGAUAAAAUUUACCGUGGUGUUUUCAGAUAAACUGUUUGUCCAGGACACAUGGAGAAUGACAAGAGCGUGAAUAUCAUCUCAGAAUAUGGGUCGUGAUAUGUGCUCGGCUAUCAAAAAGCAGUUUAUGUAAAAAUAAGCCAUAUUUUUCUAUAGUUUCAGGGAAAGAGAGAUAAAAUAGCUUAUAAAGGGAAUGAAGAUGUUGAUCCCGGACAGCCAGUCUUUUCAGCAGAAGUGAAAACACCAGCUCCAGAAGCAGUAGAACAAACUUGCCAAUUUUCUUUUCUAUUUGUAAAAUUCCUUGGACAUUUACAGGGAUUUUAUCAGAGGAUGAAUGGACUAGGCUUUCGGUUUCAUCUUCACAUCUCUAAUCAGGAGUGGGUAGCCCCUGCUUGAGGAGUCAGUAAGCAUCAUUUCAAAUGGUGAGAAUAUUGUUGAUGAGGUCGACUUAGAGACUGCUGUAUGAAUAUGUUGACGGUCUUACCAAAGUGGGCACUGAGACUCGUUCACUCUUUUAUUCCUCUCAUAUUUCUUCCCACAAUCCUCUUCAAAACAUCACCCUUCUUCACCCCUGGAAAAAAAUCACUCCGACGUUGUUGGAGCCUAAAUCGAUCAUUGCAUUCGUAAGCCUAGAAUCAAGGGAGCUGUUACUACUUUCCUUUACAAGACUCUUUUUGACAUUUUUCUUUAUAAAUGGUGCAAAAAGCAUAGGUUUCUCAUAGAAAGUCAUAAAAUAUGUUUUAUUUCAAAGAAGAUGCACAGUUUUGGUUAUUCUUGCCAUGCUUUAUUUACACAGUCAGGGCAGGUAUGGCACGUAGCAUUGAUUGCCUAGAUGGAAAUCUAGAGAUGCUAAUUUUUUUAAUGCAUUACUUUAUUUUGAAAGUAAAACUUGUUUUAGUGUUUUUUUUAAUCUAAAAUGCGGCAAUUUAAGUGAAUGAAUUUAGAACAUAAACAAGAUAGUAUUCCUAGGAUUUUUGUAAAAUUGAUUUUUCAGAUUUUUGUUUUUGCUUCAAAAUAAACCUUGUUGAAAUUAUAGUAAAAACUACAGUACUAUAACUAUCAGGAAAAUUUGACAGCUUUCAUGAAUGAAAACAUUUUUUUUCUAAUAGAGAACAUUUUUUUUUUCUUCUAUUUCUGCUACCCCCUCCUGGAUUUUUGUUGUUGUUGUUGUUAUUUUGGGGGGGCAGUGUUCUAAUCAGGUUCUUUACAUGGGUACUUUUUAAAAAAUAUAUCGAAUAUUUGAUAUUAAUUUUUCUUUGAAGUAGUGAAGGCUUUGCUAGAAAACUAUGAGCUCAAAAUGUGAUAUUCAUUAUAAAAUGUUAUGUGUCCUAACUGAGGAAACUUGAAUAUAAAUAAGUGUUAAUGAGUGUCCUGGGUAUCCUAUAAAGAAUAAUUCAUGCCCACUCAAUAAAUGAGUAGAGCCAGGGGCAAGGUGUGAUAAACAGUACCAGAUGAACAUGCUGGACUUCUGAAAGGACAGCAAUAGUAUGAGCACAAUAAUAAAUCCUUAAAAGACAAUAGUAAUUCUUCCAAGAAUUAUGGAAUGAUCAUUUUGCUCCUAAGGAGAGAGGCUUGGGGGGAAUCAACUUAUGUAUGUAAUUUUAAGAGUUUAUAUUUUUUUUCCAAUGAAAGUCUUUAUGAUCUCGUCUCCAAAUGUGAAAUUCUUUUGCUGUAUGUAUAAUUAGUAAUCUUUGAGGCUGAGCAAAGAAGCAGUAUAUUCUCAGGGUUGUUUUUUCUCACCAUUUAUACCCAUGGAGAAAUUUUCACACAUGAGCACAGACACACACAUCCUUAGGGAGAUUUUUUUUUUUUUUUAAGUUUCCUGUGAAUUCUGGAGUCUUUCUCUUGAUGCUGGUGUAAGCAGGUAUCCCUGUUAAUUUUACACAGCUGUCGCUUGGUGAUGUAGAGAAAAUAGUACUCUGGGAAUGCAGGAUCAUCAGACCAACUUUCUUUCUUUUCUUGAAGAGAAUACUUGCGUGAAAGCCUUUGACAUGGUAUGUUUGAGAAGAAAAUGUUAAAAGAAAGUAGAUAUAACCUAGAGAUAAGCUAAGAGUAAUAUCUGGAGUACAUAGAUAAUUUGACAAGAAUGGAAAUUUCUCUACCUGCACGUCCCCAACAUGUAAAAGAUAUUUUCUGAGGCAUAGAUAAAAGUAUUUAAACUGUUGUCCUAUGAACUUUGUUCUAGUCUUGGAUGUCCAGUAACUUGCUUUGAAUUGUUCAUACAUUGUCUAAAUGCUGUUUUUAUAGAAAACUAUUUCCUCAGCUUUAAGCCAAUUUUCCUUUAGCCAGUUUGACUCCAUUAUUUCUAGCUGGCGUAAUCACAGACACAUGAAUGAGCCUCUCACAGUUGUGUUUCUCCAUGGAUCUGAAACCUUCAUUGUUUUGUACCUUUGACAUUUUUAUAAGCUAUAUCUAAGAUAAAUAUGCAAAACACUAUCCUAUCAAGUUGGAAAGGUUAAAUCAUCUCUAAUGUAUGAUGGAAAGAAAAGAGAAAAAAAUUUAAAUUAGGCUGAAUUUCUUUAUAGCUAUUAAACAUUUGCUCCAUGAUUAUAUUUAAUUUUCUACAACAGGAAAGUUGUUGGAGAUUGUUUAGCAUUAUUAUAUUCUGUUUCUAUUUUUGUUACAUUUAGUGGAGAAAAGUAAAGAUAACUUCUAAGCAUAUCCCAAGUUUUUUAAUUGUGUUGGCUUUAAGCUUAGAACAGACUUUCAGAGUUUAUGGUUUUUUUGAGUUGAAACAACAUUUUUAAAUAUAUGACAACAUUCAAAAGUAGGAGUAAAGAGUUAAUUAUCUCUUUCCUAAAACCCUUUUUUUCUGUGUUCUCCUUAUUAUCACUCAGCCGCCUUCUUUAAAAUCCUGUUUUGAGGGAGUUUCCAUCAUGGCUCAGCAGAAACGAAUCUGACUCGUAUCCAAGAGGAUGUAGGUUUGAUCCCUGGCCUCACUCAGUGGCUUAAGGAUCCGGUUUUGCUGUGAGCUGUGGUGCAGUUUGCACAUACAGCUCAGAUCUGGCGUUGCUGUGGCAUAGGCCGGCCCCUGCAGCUCUGAUUCAACCACUAGCCUAGGAACUUGCAUACACUACUAAAAAAAAAAAAAAAAAAAAAAAAAAAAAA
rnacentral:lncRNA from 1 species